CGUACACUCCUGCGGGAGGCAGCAGUGGGGAAUUUUGGACAAUGGGCGAAAGCCUGAUCCAGCCAUGCCGCGUGCAGGAUGAAGGCCUUCGGGUUGUAAACUGCUUUUGUACGGAACGAAACGGCCUUUUCUAAUAAAGAGGGCUAAUGACGGUACCGUAAGAAUAAGCACCGGCUAACUACGUGCCAGCAGCCGCGGUAAUACGUAGGGUGCAAGCGUUAAUCGGAAUUACUGGGCGUAAAGCGUGCGCAGGCGGUUAUGUAAGACAGUUUUGAAAUCCCCGGGCUCAACCUGGGAACUGCAUCUGUGACUGCAUAGCUAGAGUACGGUAGAGGGGGAUGGAAUUCCGCGUGUAGCAGUGAAAUGCGUAGAUAUGCGGAGGAACACCGAUGGCGAAGGCAAUCCCCUGGACCUGUACUGACGCUCAUGCACGAAAGCGUGGGGAGCAAACAGGAUUAGAAACCCCUGUAGUCCCA
rnacentral:rRNA from 1 species